CUGUGCUUUUUAUCGUCCUUCCCCUUUCAAUUCGAUCGAGUAACCCUCAUCUCUGCGCUAUAUACUGAGCUUAAUGAAUAUUUUUUCUUUGAUUCGUCACCAAUUCACGCUACCUGCACAAACUCGCGCAGCUUCUCCUUCGAUUCGUCGCCGCUGCUCAUCUCUUCUUCAAGGGUUUUCACCUUCGAUUCGUUGUCGCUCAUCUCUUCUUCACCGUUGCCAUUCAUCACCGCGCUCACCAAUGUCAAAGAAACUGUGUGCUCUCUAGCGACCUCUUCUCUGCUCUACUGUGAAGCAUCAAGG